rnacentral:RNase_P_RNA from 1 species
AUGCCGAGGCAAAUGCUGCAUUCAUAGUAAUGUAGAGGAAAGUCCAUGCUCACACGAUCUGUGAUGAUCGUAGUGUUUGUGCAUAGGGAAAAAAUAACCUAUGGUAGGCGAAUGCCUAACGGCUCUUUGAUAACCUGUAGCCUUAUGGUAUGGUUAUUAGAGUGUAAAAGUGCCAUAGUGACGAUGACUUUGAGAAAUUGAAGUAGUGGAACGAGGUAAACCCCACAAGUGAGAAACCCAAAUAUGGUAGGGGAACUUCCAACCUGGAAUAAGAACAGGAUGGAGGAUGGAAACAUAGAUAAAUAUUUGCCACCUAGAAAUAGGGACAGAACAUGGCUUAUGAGG